GGGAUUGUGGCUCAGCGGUAGAGUUCUUGCCUAGCAUGUAUGAGGCACUGGGUUCAAUUCUCAGCACCG
rnacentral:tRNA from 1 species